UUAUUUUCUUUUUUUAUUAUUUGCCAUUUAUUGUCCUUCAGAGUAUCCAUCUCCCUCCUGCUAGACAUUUCCCAAAUCAAAGAAGUUGUCUGCUUGCUUUCUACUCAAUCGAAACACUACUCUAAUAUUCUGUGAUAACACUCUCAACUGUCCUUAUAGCUUAGACUUUAUUACUGUAUUUUGCUCAGAUUACAUUGUCUUAUAUUACUACUAUCAUAUUUUCUAUCAAAUAGUUUCCUCAGUUUAGGUGCUUAAUAUUUGUUCUGAUAGCCUUUCCAAUUCCCCAGUGUGGCAGCACUUAAAAUAUGUACAAGUCCCACACAGUUUUGACAAGAAAAGAGGUUUAACUUGUUUUGUCAACUGCCUGCCCGGAACCACAGCAGCCUGGGAAGGCCGGACUCUUUUUCCUCGCGCACCGCCCCUUGAACCCAGUUCCGGCCAUAAAGCCAAGAGCUUUUCCGGACCGCGGAGGAGGCGAUGGAUUGAACUCACAACCGGCUGCUUGCAAGGCAGAACACCAGCUGUGCAGCAGCCCCUGGUUCCAGUCUGUGUACCUUCUCCGUGCAGCAUGGCAAAAGCAGCAGGAAGAACGACUGGAGUAUUGCGCUGCAGGACUGGAUCUGGAAAGCUCUGGCCUCACUGAAUUCCGUGAACGAAUUCCACCCACAGUUGCCAUCUCCCAGACAAAUCUUUUUUCCUACCAAAUCUUCCUCAUCUUAACCUCCUUUCCUACAGUUACUUGUUCUAAAGCAAUAGAAGUAUUCUCCACAGUAAAUUGGAAGCUAGACAUCUACCGUGGAGGCGCUGGCAGGCCUUGCUUACUCUGGAAGGGUAUCAUUUGCCUGUGUCUGUCGCCAGAAUCCCUACAGUUACUUUAAUAGGAAAUGGUCUUCCUGAAAGUUUCAUAUCAUUCUGGAAUCUAAUUGCCACAUUACCCAUGGCAAGAAAUUAUGAGGACUAGAUUAGAACCAGCAAGUCCAAAUGCCAGUCCUGUUUCUGUAACUGUUGCAAGUUUGGCAAGUAUAACAACUCUGUUUUCCUUGUAACUUCUGUGCCUUCCCCCUUACUUAAUAUUCAGAUGAUCUGUUGAGGUAAUAUAUGAUAAAGAUUGAAAAAGCAUAUGUGGAUAGAAGUAUCAUUAAUGCUGUAAGGUGGUAAUUAUUAGCCAAAGCAUGUAAAUCAUAAACACUUCCAUACUUAAAAAAAUGUUCUGAAAAAUCAAUGUAUUUGCUCAAUGUCUUUUACAUAUAGGAAGUCACUGCUGAUUGGCUUUCCUGUGUGUUACCAAUGGCAAUGAAUUUAAAAAAAAAAGAUGUAAAGAGUCAGCACCAAUGGUACUUCAAAUGAUUUAAAUAAAAUGUAGUCAAUUUUCAAUGCUUGGCAAUCAAAUUAUAACCCUUUAACCCCCUUUCACUUUAAUUUCUUCCAGACCAUCCAUACAUAACUGACAGUUACCCUUUAAAACUUUGUACAUGUCCGGAUUAAAAUUGGGCCUCAACUGUGAUGAUUCCUAUUUCCUCUUGUGUUUUAAGUGCAAACUAACAUCAUGGAGUUGCUACAGACUGAGUUGAGGCAUUAGCCCUGAAUGUGCUUGUGUUUGAAGAGUGGGCUUUUAAUAAGAGAAUAUCAUCAUUAUUUGUUUUCUGGGUCCUACAUGAGGGUGACUGAGUGGGUCCUCCCCACCAGGGCACCAAGUAGGCUGGGGACUGCAUGUCAGCCUGCUGUUGUGCCACAGUGAGUCAUUACCCUUCCUGUGAGUGAGGGACUAUAUGAACCCCAGAGCCUGGAGCUGUGCUUAUAGUUGCUGCCCCCUGGGCUGUGGUGUGAACCCUGCACCUUCCCUGAGACCCCAAUAUCCACAGCAGAACUGUCAGCCUAUCUGCAAAAAUCCUGUGACCUUCACUUCUCACAUCCUCUGAGACCACAGUGGGAACCAUAUGCUGUUUGCUGCUUCCUUGAUCCUCCUGCAUAAGCCCAGACAGCUCCUUCAGAUACUGCUCUCCCCUUUGUGAUCCGCAUCUCACGCAGAGCAAAGAACUCAUUGUGGAGCUGGUAGCACUAACAGCUGGUAAAUAACAGAACUGUGCUUUUUGCGCUCAUGCUCACAAACAGAACAAGACCCUCACCAGAUUGGCUGCACCUAGUGAGGAGUACAGGGGAAAGAUGAGGUCUUUUCUCCACUAUUUCCUGGGGCUGGUGUGAGUGGGCACUGGGCAGAUGUGGGUCUGUAGUUACAGCUGUCCCUGUCAUCUUAAGAAUCCCAUUCCUGGGGGCAGAGAGAAGCCUUCUGGGAGCAUACAGGCAGGAAGUGCACAUCUAACUCUUGGCCUCAGUACCAGGUUGUUAAACUGUGGGUCCAUUGCUCUCAGGUGCCACAAGACUUUGGGUGGCUAAUGCAGGGCACAGGGGCUGCUUUUGGCUGGUCGGCAGCAAGCUUGCAGGCCCAGAAGGUACAGCACUGUGGGAUUGAUUUCGGAUCGUGCCAUGAUAGUGAAGUGCUGCCUCAUGAGCCUUCUAAAAGGGUGAUACUCUUCCCUUUACCCUCGCCACCUUCUCUUCAAAGUUAAUGUACAAAUACUGUCUGACUCCCUGCACUGAAAAAGGCUGAGGCAGGCCGAUCACCAAGUUCCAGUCCCACCCAGGCAAUUUAGCAAGACUGUCUCAAAACAAAGAAUAGAAAGGGUAGGGGAGGUAGCUCAGUGUGAAGCCCUGGGUUCAAUUCCCAGUAUCACAAGAACAAACGAAACAUGCUAAGGUAUUUCUUUCAGAAUCUCUUAGUGGAAGAUUUAGUACAUUUUCACAUUAGAGAAGACUUUUCAAACUGGGCGUGGUGGCUCACACCUGUAAUCUCAGCACUCCUGAGGCUAAGGCAGGAGGAUCAUAGCAAAUUUGAGACCAGCCUGGGUUACAAAGUGAGCUCAAGGCCAGCUUGAACUGCAUAGUGAAACCCUGUCUCCAAAAGACCACCACCACCAACAACAAAAAAAAGAAAAAAGAGACUUUUCAUAUUGUGAUCCUAUUUAAAUGUUAUAAUGUAAAAAUUAGGUAAUGAGGAAUAUUUAAAACCUUAUAUAAUCACUUUUAAUUCUGACAUCAGUGAAAGAAACUGUGUCUCAUCAAACAGAUAAAUGUAGCAGUUUACUUUUGUAUCUUUAAAAUACUGGUAGAGGCGGGGCGUGGUAGCUCACUCUUGUAAUCCCAGCACUCGGGAGGCUGAGGAAGGGGGAUCGCUGGGAGUUCGAGACCAGCCUGGGCUACAACGUGAGCUCAAGGCCAGCCUGAACUGCAUAGUGAGAUCCCGUCUCAAAAAGACAAAAAAACAAAACAAAACAAACAAACAAACAAAAAACCAAAAAAAAAAAAAAAAAAACUGGUAGAACUCCCAACUGUUACAGAUCCCAUCCCUCUCUAAACUCUUUCAAAUACUGUCACUGUACCCCUCAGUCUUUUCUAAAGAGGAAUGCAACUAACAGCAAUGAAAUAUAUUUGAGUACUGACUAAUCCCUCUUCCACGGUUGGCCAGGAGCCAGAAAACCCUGUAAGUUUCUCGUUCAGGCAGCUCCCUAAAACUUUAUAUCAACCUAGUCCAGCAAGACACCAAAACACGGUGGAAGGCAGUCAAAGCCUGGUUGUACUACAGUGUCCACCGUACAAACGAUUAGGCUUAAUUUAAUUUGAAAUUCUUUCCUCACCCCAACUCAAUUUGUUUUUCAAAACAGGGUCUCAUUCUGCAAUUCAGGCUGGCUUUGAACUUGCCAUGUAGGCCAGGUUAGCCUCAAAGUCAUGGCAGUUCUUCUGCUUCAGUGUCCUAAGUGCUGGGAUUACAGGGCUGCUCCACACCAACCCAGUUUUUGCUUAAUCUCUGGAGUCUGGUCUCAUUUUGGAUACUUUCCUGAUUAUGCUUACUUCCUGGCAUGAUCUUUUGGCCUCUUAUUAGAAUGCUACAAUUAUGUAUAUUUUCUUAGUUGACAUGAUGAACCUGUGACCAUCAAACUUAGUUCUGUGGUCUUCCUUUUUUAGAGGAAUGUUCUGUAGGCAGUGUGCAAGACCUUUUACGACUUGGCCUGGGGAUAUAGCUCAGUGGUAGUGCACUUGUGGAACUCUGGCUUCAAUUCCUAGCAUCAUAAGGGGAACAUUUUUACUCUUGAGCUUAGUCUACCUUCUCUGUGGAGAACAAAUUAACUAGGAGAAUGAACUAGGGCUGAUGAUCAGUCUCUCUACCUGAAUCUUCCUUUUCUUCUCACAUGCAGUUAUUUCCCAGGACAGUCUAUGUUCCCUACACCCUCACUGCUGUGGACUAAUCUCUUCACAGUCUUCCCUCUAAUUAGGUUCUUCUAGUUUGACUUUAGCAGUCUGUGACAGACUAAUCCCAAGUUUCACAGAAAGCCUGACAGAGGUGAAGACCAUAUAUGGAACAGCAGCCCUAAGAAUGAGAAAACAUCUAAUGGUUUUUUAGUCAUUCAUCUCACUCAAGGUGUUUCUUAUUUAACAUUUUUCACAUUCUGCUUUUUCCUCAGCAUUUCCACAUGAAUUUCCUCACAUUAGCAGGUUUUCUCGAAUGUGAAUUCUCUGAUGUUGACUCAGAUAAGAGCUCUGACUGAAGGCUUUCCCACACUUGCUGCAUUCAUAGGGCUUGUCUCCAGUGUGGGUUCUCAGGUGUCGAAUAAGGUGUGUGCUCACUCAGGUUUCCCCACAUUCACUGUAUUUACAGGGUUUCUCUCUGGUAUGAAUUCUCUGAUGCUGGACAAGAUGUGAGUUCAGGAUAAAUGUUUUCCCACCUUCUUUGCAUCUGAAAGGUCUUUCCCCAGUGUGAGUUCACUGAUGUCUAAUGAGAUCUGAGCUGUCUCCAAAGCCUUUCUCACAUUCAUUACAUACAUAGGGCUUUUCUCCAGUAUGGAUUCUCUGAUGCCUAACAAGUUGUGAACUAUGCCUGAAUGCUUUUCCACAACUACACUGAUGGCUUUUCUCUCCAUUGAAAAUUGCUGCAGGUUUCACAAAGUUUGGGCUCUUAAAGGUUUUCCGUAGUGGUGAAUUUGUUCUUCAGGACAAAUUCUUUGAUGCUUAAAAUCUGAAUUCCACUUGAAACUCUGGUCAUCAAUACCUGCUUCAUAGAAUAUGAUUACACAACUUAUUUCAACACAAAAUUUAAAUUAUUUAAACCUAAAAACAUUGCUAAAUAUUAACAAAACAAUGUGAUUAAAUUAUAUAAAGAAAAUAAAGGCCUAAAGAGAAAAAUGAUAUAAGUGCUUUAUAAAAUGGGAUGGGAUUGCAUAGUGAUUGCAUUGGUCAAGGGACGCUUACUGAAAUUCUGAAGAAAGGAUGAAAUUUGACCAGGAAAUGGUAGAGAGAAACGGGAAAUUACAAGCAGAUAAACCGUGUGGACAACUGGCUAAGGGUCAGAAUACAGGAAGUGGGAAAGCAAAAAGCUCAGUAAGUUUAUAUAAGAAUUACAAAAGAAGGGAUUGUGGAAAGCACUAUGAGUCAGGUUCUAGAAUUUAUUGAGUUCCUAGUUUAGGUAUGAGGAAGCCAAUGAAAGUUUCUGUGCAGAAAGAAUAACCAGCGGAGUAAGUUCUAUAAAGGAGGGUAUUUUUCAUUUCUAGGAUGGAUUGCGAAAUGAAGAAAGGAGGCCGCUGUACUCACACAAGCAGAGGAAAAUACAAACUUGGAUUGUUACAGUUAAACCUCGUCAGGAAAUGGAACCAGGAUAGUUACAUUUAUUGAGAAUGAAGAACUAGGAGUACUUGGAAAUCUCUUAAAUGACAGAAUAAGGGAAUUACUCCUCGGCGCCAGAUGAUAGAGAUAGUGGUAACGGGCUCCUUGACCAAAAGUCCAGUAGGUUUUCUAUUGCUCCAGUAAUUCCUCAUGUGCCUUUCCAAUUUUAUAACUCUGUCCAUGUUUUGAUUACUAAAGUUCUACUGCAACCCCAGCACGCAGAACACACGAAACAUCAGCAGUGUGACCCGGGCACACUGGAGCUAGGGCAAGGUAACAGCCCCAUCCCGGGAAACAGGCCCGUAGGGCCCCGCUGCAGUCAGCCGAGUCCACCCGUACACCAGCGGCCCCGCCCCGGGCCCCGCCCCAGCCCACCGCGAUGACGUCACCCGCUCCUGGAAGUCUCCUUACUCCAGAUCUCGGGCGGGGAAGCUGGCCAACGCCGAAGGUAGUUCCUCUUUUCUCUUGGUCUCUUCUGAGCCACUGGGGUCAGAUGGCUCGAGGGUGCUCUAUCCUGAAGGGACCACGAAAAGGCCUGGAUGUUUGGAGGGGGACUCAGGCCCGGUCACCUGGACCCCCAAACGCACCUUUCUCACAGGGCUGAUUCCGGUCGGACACUUCCGGUGGGUGAACAGAGUGGCUCCACCCCUCCUGGAGCUGGUUCCUGCCGGACACUUCGAUGGGAGGCUGAAGAGGUGAACCGGACACUUCCGGCGGGGACAGCGGUUUCUCUUCUCCGGGAGCCCUGUUCUUCCCGUAGACUUUGCAGGCUUAGGACCCGGUUUCCCCGUCCACCGCGCCAAACCCUGAGGUUCUCAAAGUCAGAAGGUGGACGCGCCUUUUUGUCUUCAUUUUCGUUUGGUAGCAUACUUGACACUGUUGUGUCCCCUUACGUCCCCAGCUUCGACGUUACUUCUAGGUGAUGAAAUUGUAGCCCCUAUAGCAGGGAUGUUAAACAGACUUCACCUCUGCUGCAAAACUGCGCCCCAAAGCCACCCUAUUUCUGUUUUGUCCGUCCCCUUACACUGUCAAAUAUACAAAAAGGGGUUAAAGGUAACCCUUGCUGCAUGCAUGGCCCUGUUACCCAGUCUGUAAGAACUAGAGAUUGAUAAUAAUUUACGUUUACUACUCCUUGUCAAGUCUCUUUGUACCUCUCUCCUUAUAAUCACUUUCAAAGUUUGUACAUUGUUUCCUUGAUUUUUAAAAAAAUAGUUGUAUUGAGUAUGUAUAUAUGACCAAAUUUUAACUUUAGUUGUCCCUAAAAGGCGACAUGCCUUAUGUAACCUAUGUUUGCUUUUUUUCUCGUAACAGUAUGUUACUAAGAUAUAUUCACAUUGUUGAGUUACGAUUAUCAGCUUUGUAUAACAUUUCAGUUGUGAAUACAGCACUGCAUUUAUCGUUCUAAAGAUGGGCUGAUAGAUCAUAAUGUGUCUUCAGGACUACUGCAGUAGUUUCGGUGGUCCCUUUGCUUUCACUUUAAUUGAUCACAUUUUAUUCUCAAUGGAACAGCUCCAGUGAUACUGUUUAAGCAUAAGCUCUAUCACAAACCUUCAGUUUAAAACCCUUCAGCAAGUUCCUCAUUUCAUUAAAGAUAAAAACCAAAGACCUUUGCAUGGCCUGUAAAGUCCUGCAUAAAUUUUACUGUGUGUGAUAUGGUGCAAGAUUAUACAUAUCUUUUCCACUUGCUCAUCCUGCUCCAUCCCAAUAGAAUUUCUGGUCUGGAAUAUGUAAGACAUAUUAUUGCACAGGACUAUGUUUCUGGUUGUUUGCUCAAAGUAUGGCUAAUUCUUACCCCUCUAGGUUUUGCCCAAGUCAUAUGUCCUCAAUAAUAUUUAUCUUGCACCUGUCCCUAUCCCUCACCCCACUCCAGCUUGUAAGACGGGACCCAGAUCCUGCUGUAUGCUAAGCAAGGGCUCUGUCAUGAGCUACAUAGUCUGCCCUCUAUCACACUUUCUAACAUACUAUUUAAUUUAUUCGAUAUGUUGUCUCCUUGGCUGCAGUAUAAGAUCUUUAAAAUCAUGGUUCUUGUCUGUUCACUGCUAUAAGCAAAUAUUUAGGAUGGGCCCUAUCAUGAAUCUACCCUUAAUAAAUAUUUGUCAAAUGAAUGGGCAUUUAGAUUACUUCCACCUUUCAGAAAUUACAAACAAUGCUUCUAUGAAUCCUCAUGUACAUGUACAAGAAUUUCAGAAUUAUAAUUAUUGAAUGUAAGGUAUGUAAGAAUCAAACAUUGGAAAAUAAUGUCAAACUGUUUUCCAGAGUUUAUUUUCCCAUAAUCCGUGCUUACGCAGUCCUGUUAAUUAUACUUUCUUUAACAGUUGGUUUGGUAGACUUUUAAAUUUUUUUCCAAUUGAACGAGCAUAAAGCAUUAUCUUUAUAUAGCUCCAAGAGAUUGGACAUCGUUUAGUAUUUAUUGCUAUUGCAGUUCCUUUACUGUGAUACAACUGCUCAUAUCUUUUGCCCAUUUUUCUAUUCUUUAAACUUUUCUUAAUGGUUUGUAUGAGUAUGUAGUCUAGAUACCAUGUUUUUAUUGGUUUUAUGUGUUAUAAACACUUUCUUCUAAUUGUGGCACUUUGUUUUUAUUUUUGUUGUGAGUUCUUUUGCUGAAUAAAUUGAAUUUAAUAUAGAAAAUUUUAUUAAUAUUUUCUUUUACCGUUAGCAGUUAAUGAGAGCCGUCAGAGCGCUAUCAAUCAGCAACAUUCCCAGCAACUAUAGAAAUAUAUCUUUAGUUCUGAAGAGAAAUCUGGUAGGCACAGAUCCCUGCUGUUUAUUGCAGACAAAAAUUGGACAUACUCUUUCAGGCAAGGAUGUGUGUUUCAUGUGUGACCACUCAUGUAUGCCUCCCUGUUUGAAUUUAGCAUAGAUGUUACGAAGAAUUAGAGACACUAGAAAAGCUCUUGGUGGUGGUGGCAGUGGCACGAAUGUGAAUUUAUAGGUUAGUAGUCAAGGGCAUCCAGUGAUUGGGGCAAGCUGCAACACCCACUGUUUGUUGACAGUGUCUUUAGUCAAUUCCUCAGAUGGUUUCACAUGUUGUUUUGGCUCUGGUUUGAGGAUAGGCCUUUGAGCCUGGUUCUCCAACCUUAUGAAUGUUUUUACAAAAUCCUCAACUCUUUUUACUUCUGUUUCUGGUUUUCAUUCAUCACAUCACAUGAAAAUAACAGCAUAUUUUUCACAGAGUUUAAAGAGAUAGUUUUGGUGAUGUGACAGAAUAUUGCUAUGUGACAUACAGAAAAGCACACCAUCUGGGCUCUCCGGAACAUUGUGUACCCAGUGAAAUCAGAUACAAACUGCAAAUCAAGUCACAGAUAUGCUUCUUUAUAUGGACAACUCUAUGCAUGUUCCAGAGCAAAUAAGUAUGGAGUUUUAAACAUCAACAUGAUAAUUACAUGCUUUUUAGGGUUGGUGCGAUGGCAUCCUCCUGUUAUCUCAGCACUAGGGAGACUGAGGCAGGAAGAUUACUGUGAGUUCAAGCCAGACUGGACUACAUAGUGAGACCCUAUCUCAACCCUCCCACCCCCCAAAAAUUUUUUAGGCAUUCUUCAUAGCCGAGGACAAUCCAGACAUACAUGUAAGUUCUGCUUUUUACACAAGAGAGUGAAGAGAGGUUCUAGGAAAUGUACACAACAUAAUAUAUGAAUACACACAAAAUAGAAUAAAAAUGUAUCCUGACUUUUAUCAAUCCUUAAUAUGAUAUCACACUCCUCAACUAUUAGUUUUCCUGCUGUGUUCUGAAUAUUCUCAUUCCCGUGGAAAACAUCCACACUCAAGGCACAGAAUAAGUGCUGUCUUUUUCUUCUAGCUUUGCUUGACUUUUGAAUCUCAUAUCUUCUCCAUCUGAUUUCACAGUGGGGUCAUGGUUUGAACCCUUUAUAACAUAGUGCUUUUAUUCUGCAGUGUUUUUUAAUGCAUGAAGAGUACAAUCCUGGGAAAGUACUCUAGUUUGCACUCUGGUAUAUUUGCAUGUUAUUCUGGGCCUUGAGUUGUAUCUUAGUGAUUAAAAUGUUGAUACCAUAUUUGAUUUUUCAGAGACUUGAGAUAAUAUUUGUCUACAUCUAUAGAAUCUUGGACUCCAAUGGGUAAGAUCUAUGAUUGUGUCACUUCUAGAACAUGUAGCAAAAUCUGGACAAAUUUAAUUAGGUUGUUAAUAGUAGUCUUGUAAUUGACAAUAAAACCUGAUCUCAUUAGA